UACGGAGGGGGCGAGCGUUGUUCGGAAUCAUUGGGCGUAAAGGGCGCGUAGGCGGCCUUGCAAGUCGGGUGUGGAAUCCCUCGGCUCAACCGAGGAACCGCACUCGAUACUGCCGGGCUAGAGUCCGGGAGGGGAUGGUGGAAUUCCCAGUGUAGCGGUGAAAUGCGUAGAUAUUGGGAAGAACACCGGUGGCGAAGGCGGCCAUCUGGACCGGUACUGACGCUGAGGCGCGAAAGCUAGGGGAGCGAAUGGG
rnacentral:rRNA from 1 species